ensembl:lncRNA
CGGGACAGUGGUGCAAGGUACAGACAAGUGCUGGAGACUCACAGAAAUGAAGCAACUCCCCUGCUCCUCACAAAAUGAUGUGGUGGUGCCAGUAGCUGCUGACACUUACUCUGCUACUGCUUCAGCUGCAGGAAAACUGGGCACAGGUCAGACUUGCUGCCAUCCAUCCUUGUAGCUGGAGUUGGAGAUUUUCGAGCCACAGGAUGCUCAGGGAUGUGAGGUGCCUCAGUGCUCCUUUUACUAGUUUAUCUCUAAGCUGUCUUCAAACCUCCUUGAAAGCUAACAUCAUCCAUGGGCAAUCAGGAUCUCAGAGCAGAGAGGGCUGCUACCGAGUCUUGAGCAACACAGGGAGGAAAGUCUGCCAGCACUCCUCCAACCUUCAGCAGCCACUCCAGACACAAGCCAAAGGCAGGAGAUGCAGCAGGGAAUCAAUACCUUGCUUGAAAGAUUUAACACUUAUUUCUACCAAGCCUGGAAUUGUCAGCUGAGAUUUUCUCUACAGGAUAUUCCACUGAUAUGGAUUCUCCCUUUAGUACAAACACUUCCUGUGACUGAUUCAAAAUGCAGAUCCAAACUUUGCAUCUGAGGACACUCUUGCUAUUUGAAAUAUCAAGAAUAGAAUAUAUUCUGAGCAGAACUGCUCAGAAAUAACAGAAAGAAGCUAUCCAUUGGACUUCGGCACAUUUUAGAAAAGCCACUGUAGGAAUGUGACACUGAGGCCUACAGUAUCAAAAUUCAAGGCAUGAUGAGAAGUUUGA